CGGUUUACAAGCCUACCCUCCCUCCUCCAGUAUACUACACCUCACCGGUUUACAAGCAUACACCCUCACCUCCGGUUUACACUAAGCCAACUAUCCCACCUCCGGUUUACACCCCUCCGGUAUACAAGCAUACCCCCUCACCUCCGGUUUACACUAAGCCAACUAUCCCACCUCCGGUUUACACCCCACCGGUUUACAAGCCAACUCUCUCACCUCCGGUUUACACUAAGCCAACUAUCCCACCUCCGGUUUACACUCCACCGGUUUACAAGCCAACUCUCUCACCUCCGGUUUACACUAAGCCAACUAUCCCACCUCCGGUUUACACUCCACCGGUUUACAAGCCUACUCUCUCACCUCCGGUCUACAAAAAGUCUCCAAGCUAUUCGUCUCCUCCUCCUCCAUAUGUACCAGAACCAACCUACACUCCACCCACCAAGCCAUACGUCCC
rnacentral:lncRNA from 1 species